rnacentral:rRNA from 1 species
UGAAUAAUUUAAAGGGCCGCGGUAUUUUAACCGUGCAAAGGUAGCAUAAUCACUAGUCUUUUAAAUGGAGGCUUGAAUGAAUGGUUGAACAAAUAAAUGACUGUCUCUUUUUUAAAAUUUGAAUUUAACUUUUAAGUGAGAAGGCUUAAAUAUUUCAGGGGGACGAUAAGACCCUAUAAAUCUUUAUAUAACUAUUUAUUUUUUAUUGAUAAAAUGUUUAAUAAUUUAGAGUGAAUAAUAUAUUAUAUUGGGGCGAUAAAAGUAUAAAUAAUAUAACUGCUUAUAUUUAAAUACUUGUAUUUUUGAUUAUUAUUUAUGAUCCUUUAAAAGAUUAAAAGAUUAAGUUACUUUAGGGAUAACAGCGUUAUUUUUUUUAAGAGUUCUUAUCGAAAAAAAAGUUUGCGACCUCGAUGUUGAAUUAAAAUUUCUUUAUGGUGUAGCCUUUAUAAGAGAAGGUCUGUUCGACCUUUAAAUUUUUACGUGAUC